CAGCCGUAAACAAUGUGCGUUAGGUGUGUCGGUAACCACGUGUUACUGAUGCGCCGAAGAGAAAUCGUGAAACGCACCACCUGGGAAGUACGGUCGCAAGGCUGAAACUUAAAGGAAUUGGCGGGGGAGCACCACAACAGGUGGAGCCUGCGGUUUAAUUGGAUUCAACGCCGGACAUCUCACCGGAUAAGACAGCUGAAUGAUUGUCAGGUUGAUGACCUUGCUUGACAAGCUGAGAGGUGGUGCAUGGCGUAGUCGUGU
rnacentral:rRNA from 1 species